GGGCGCAUGUGGUCCAUAUUGGCUCUAGAGCUCACUGUGUCCCCUACCCAGUUCCCAGGUUGGGGCACUCUGCUUCCUGACUGGCAAUGGAAUUGAGCAAACCCCACCUCUUUUCUCUGCUUCUCCAGGGUGCAGGGAAUUAAACAAGGGUCUCAUCAAGCAAUAGUGACUGACUGACCCAGUGCUCUCCUCUCACACACUUGGGGAUCAGCCAGGGGGACAAGGAGCAGAGAGACACCCAGAGCCAUAAUCCUAUCUUAGCUCACCCACCCGGGGAUUCUGCUUAUGCCACGUAGCGAUGGCUCCAUGUAAGACACUCAAAUCACGGCAACUAGCGAGGUUCCAGUGUGGGACCUUUAGCACCAGCCUGUCCCACUGGGUGCUGGGUGAGGAACUCUGAGCUGAAAAUAAGGAGUGGGCUCUUGUCCUGUCUCCAGGAGGCAUCCACUGCAGGGACCCCAGCCAGCCCCACUCCCUGAGCUGUGUCAUACCCUGCCACAGUGUCCUUACCUCCCCCACCCUGGCUGUGUUCUUAUAGCCCAGGAGCCUGCUGUCCUGGUGCCAGUCGUGGAACCACAGAUCUUCUGCUUCAUGUAUGGUCAGCCCUGGAAAAGAGAAAGAGACACUUUGAUCAUUCUGGUUGCAGUUUGUGUGUCCUUCCAAUCCCAUUGGUGGCUGCACAGUGGAGUGGAGAAGAACAGAGGCAGAGAGAGACUUGUCCUCCAGCUGGGGUCAGUCUGAGAGAAAUUGUCUGGGAUCCCAUUAUCCACCUGUGGUCACUCUCAGUCCCCUAUUGGGUUCCGUGUGCCAGCGGGUUCCUUACCCCUCUGUUGGAGCAGCAGCUGGUAGAGCCGGUAAGUCCCCUCCCUGGCCUGCCGGCUGAUGUCCUUGUCUGGGUCACUGACAAACAGAGCCAGCUGUGCCACAUGGUGACCCAUCCUAGGGAACUCUGCUGAGAUCUAAUGGAAGGGAGAGGAGAGGGGACUCCAUCAGCAUUUUCCUGUCAGCUCCUUGUCCCCCCUGGUCCAGAAGGCUCCUUCCCCUUAGCCCCUCUGCAGGAGAUGCUGGGGGAGAGGAGUCUGAGAUAGACCCUUCAUUUGCUCUGCUGCCAAGGGAACCAGGAGCUGCUUUUGGAUGCCAAGCAGGAGCUGGAGCAUGGUCCCCUUAAAGGCCCAGGGACAACACUUGACCAGGACAAGAAGAACUUGACUCAAGCCUAUCUCAUUCCCUGCUCUGCCUCUGCCUCCCCAAGAGGAACACUCCAAACCCACAGCCCCUGCAGCAGCAGAUCCUACAGCCCGUUGGAACCAGCCCGCCUACGCCUGGAGUCAGGAAGCUGGGGUCAGAGGCAAUUAGCAAGGAUUGAUGACACCUGGAUCUUUGAUCCAUGAGCUUAGCAGGUCUCUGCAAAGGGCCCUGCAGGCAGAAGAGGAUGAAACAGCCAAGUUGCUAUGGAUGGAAGCUGAGCUGCUGGGCAAAACACGGCGAAAGAAAGCAAGAAAGCAAGCAAGAAAGCAAGCAAGCUCCCAGAGAGGGGUAAUACUCUGGAGGGAAGGAUCCAACCCUGCAGCUUGUUCCAUCUCUGCCUACACCACCCAGCGAAUCAAGGGAGCAGGGACCAUGGAUGUAAAAAGGCCCCAUUAGGGGUGCUGGAUCAUCAGGGGACGGAGAAAGUCAGCCAGCAGCAGCGGGGUGCAGAACACUGCCCUAGUGCGGAGGUGACAGCGGCUCCAGGAUCCUGACAUCCCAGCACUUUACACAUCUUCCUGGAGCCUCCCAACCCCCCUGGGCUGUAGCCACAGGACCCCAACCCUACUGAUGGCAAACGGGCCUCUGCUACCGGCUCAGGGUCACACCGAGUGUCAGAGCCAUGGAUUGACCCCUUCACUAACCACUGCUGCACACUCCCUCCCACAGCUGGCAAUUGCAACCAGGCCCUAAUGUCCAGUCCCCCUGCCUUUGAGAGGGAGCAUCACUCCUGCUUCCAUUGCUGCCUAUUGAUCUGUGGGACUGGGCAAGUUGCUCCCCCUCUCUAUGGCUCUCUGGGAAUCACAUCCCCAAAUGGGCUUUAAAAAAGACAAUGGUUAAAGUUUGCCCCAACUCUUUCUUGUUUCUCUCCACCAUUUUAAACUCCAUUUUAGCAAAGUUUAGAAUUCUUGAUGUUCAACACCUGGAAACAUCCCUUUCUCCAUCGCAGACAGCUUGAGCAUCCCUUCUCACCCAGGCUCUCUGCUGCCUGGAGUUAGAGAAUUGACCCUAUUCCCAUUGGACCUACCCAAGGUGUCACACAGCAAAGCGGUGACAGAGCCAGAAAGAGAAGCCAACAGUCCUGACUCCUGUUCUAACUAACAGACAACAACCCCCACGGAGGCAGGGAUAGAGCCCAGGAAAUAAGUGGUGAAAAUUUUCAUGGGAACCAUUUUCUGUCAGAAAAUCCAUUCAGACUAAACCACUUUGUUUCUUGAAAUCAUAACAUGUAGGAUGAAAAUUAUUUGCAAACAAAUAUUUGUUUGCAAAACAAGAGCAUCUCCUGUUUGUCACAGUGCAUUAAACUGUCUCGUCGUACACAAAGAGGAGACACUGUGAUCUAGAAAGUUAGAUGAGAUGCGUCAGUCUGAUCUAAGUAGUUGCUGCUCUUAACAAUUUCAAAAGAAUAAAAUACCAAUCAAAUAGAAUAUUAUGUCAUAAUCUGAUAUGGCUCAAUGUGAUAGGACACCUCCUAUUCUGCACUGCUACUA